rnacentral:rRNA from 1 species
GACGAACGCUGGCGGCUCGCCUAACACAUGCAAGUCGAACGAGCGAGAGAGAGCUUGCUUUCUUGAGCGAGUGGCGAACGGGUGAGUAACGCGUGAGGAACCUGCCUCAAAGAGGGGGACAACAGUUGGAAACGACUGCUAAUACCGCAUAAGCCCACGACCCGGCAUCGGGUUGAGGGAAAAGGAGCAAUCCGCUUUGAGAUGGCCUCGCGUCCGAUUAGCUGGUUGGUGAGGUAACGGCCCACCAAGGCGACGAUCGGUAGCCGGACUGAGAGGUUGAACGGCCACAUUGGGACUGAGACACGGCCCAGACUCCUACGGGAGGCAGCAGUGGGGAAUAUUGCACAAUGGGGGAAACCCUGAUGCAGCGACGCCGCGUGGAGGAAGAAGGUCUUCGGAUUGUAAACUCCUGUUGUUGAGGAAGAUAAUGACGGUACUCAACAAGGAAGUGACGGCUAACUACGUGCCAGCAGCCGCGGUAAAACGUAGGUCACAAGCGUUGUCCGGAAUUACUGGGUGUAAAGGGAGCGCAGGCGGGAAGACAAGUUGGAAGUGAAAUCUAUGGGCUCAACCCAUAAACUGCUUUCAAAACUGUUUUUCUUGAGUAGUGCAGAGGUAGGCGGAAUUCCCGGUGUAGCGGUGGAAUGCGUAGAUAUCGGGAGGAACACCAGUGGCGAAGGCGGCCUACUGGGCACCAACUGACGCUGAGGCUCGAAAGUGUGNGUAGCANACAGG